rnacentral:sRNA from 1 species
AGCAGCCGCGGUAAUUCCAGCUCCGAUAGCGUAUAUUAAAGUUGUUGCAGUUAAAAAGCUCGUAGUUGAAUUUCGGGGUCAGUAGGUCGGUCGUGCCACAGGUAUGCACUGGUCUCACUGAUUCCUCCUUCCUGAUGAACCGUAAUGCCAUUAAUUUGGCGUUGCGGGGAGACUGGACUGUUACUUUGAAAAAUUAGAGUGUUUAAAGCAGGCUAACGCUUGAAUACAUUAGCAUGGAAUAACGGAAUAGGACGUUCGAUCUUAUUUUGUUGGUUUCUAAGAUUGACGUAAUGAUUAAUAGGGAUAGUUGGGGGCAUUAGUAUUCAAUUGUCAGAGGUGAAAUUCUUGGAUUUUAUUGAAG